GAUGAACGCUGGCGGCGUGCCUAAUACAUGCCAGUCGAACGAAACUUCUUUAUCACCGAGUGCUUGCACUCACCGAUAAAGAGUUGAGUGGCGAACGGGUGAGUAACACGUGGGCAACCUGCCCAAAAGAGGGGGAUAACACUUGGAAACAGGUGCUAAUACCGCAUAACCAUAGUUACCGCAUGGUAACUAUGUAAAAGGUGGCUAUACUACCGCUUUUGGAUGGGCCCGCGGCGCAUUAGCUAGUUGGUAGGUAAAGGCUUACCAAGGCAAUGAUGCGUAGCCGAAUUGAGAGGUUGAUCGGCCACAUUGGGACUGAGACACGGCCCAAACUCCUACGGGAGGCAGCAGUAGGGAAUCUUCCACAAUGGGCGAAAGCCUGAUGGAGCAACGCCGCGUGGGUGAAGAAGGUCUUCGGAUCGUAAAACCCUGUUGUUAGAGAAGAAAGUGCGUGAGAGUAACUGUUCACGUUUCGACGGUAUCUAACCAGAAAGCCACGGCUAACUACGUG
rnacentral:rRNA from 1 species